CGGGUUGGGGCCGGUCUGGUUAGGCGCCUCAUUUGGGUUGAGGAUCAGCUAUGUUCGAAUCAUAGCAACCCGA
rnacentral:tRNA from 1 species